UACCUUGUAGUUCAGUAGUAGAGCAUCUGCUUUGCAUGCAGAAGGUUCCAGGUUAAAUCCUCAGCAUCUCCAGGUAG